UUCUAGUAAUUAUCAUAUAAGAAAAAUAAAAGAACACUAACCAUUGUCCUCAGGGGAUUUUGUCUAACCAUGGAAAUGCAAGUGAAAGAAGGGAGUAACUCUCUCGGAUAAGGUUCCUCCUGCAACCGCAACAAUAUAUGAUUUAGAUGGUGCAGAUAGAAGACAAGAGUUUCUCCACUGGUAAUCUAUUAAUAUGGCCUAUCAUUAUAUAUAAGUGUACAGAUUACCUGUGUUGGAACUUUUGGUUAUGGGGCUGAUGAUGAUGCCAAACCAAAUGGUCAUCAAUGGCCUCUAGUGUGGAGAUUUGAUGUCUAUUUGCUAAGCUCAGGUCGUCAAUGGUCUCUCGAGUGAAGAUGUGGUCUCUACUUUGACCCCUUGUGAAUCCUUUUUGUUGGGAAAGGUACCUCCGAAGCCCAGCUAAGGGUGCUGCUCAAGCUUACAGGCACUCAAUUAGAUGGCUACGACUCAUUAAACUUUUGUGUGCAAGUGUUUCAAGACUUCUGACAACAGAGCUGCCCUAGCCACGUGAGAUGUCUCUUCACUUGAGAGAGCACCAACGAAAUUAAAUCUUUCACCCUAAGGUACACACCUAUAAAUAAGAGAGAUUCUAAUUCAGUGAGGCUCCCCAUGAGGAAGGCACCCCACAUGGAUAUAGAAUGGAACAUCUAUUUUGAAGGCUCUUGCUAGUUUAAAAGAUUUCAUGAACUAUCUCCAAAAAUGCAGAGCAGGGAAUAUCCACUUUGAAGGCUCUUGCUAGUGUGAUGAUGAUGCUAAUGAGGUAUCAGCUUGUGAGGAGUCUCGGAAGCCUUGAAACACUUGCACACAGCAACACAGGUUCAAUGAGUAGUAGCCAUCUUAUUGAGUGCUUGUGAGCUUGAGCAGCACCCACCACUGGGCCUCGGAAGGCCCUCUCCCAACAACAAGGAUGCAUAAGGGAUCAAAGCAGACACCACAUCUCCACACGAGAGGCCAUUGACUACCUGACCUUGGCAAGGAGACACCACAUUUCCAUGGAGAUACCAUUGACGACCUUCAUCAGCAUGAAACACCCACAUAGAAUCACCCCCACCCCCAAUUUUCUUCAUGGUAUCUAGAUUCAAAGGAUCCACUUUUUGUACUGCUAAAUGUCACUAAAUUCAAGUUUACAGUUCAAUUUCAUAUUAAUUACAGAAUAUAAGAAGAUAUUGUUGGGGAAUUUAA